rnacentral:rRNA from 1 species
UACGUAGGUGGCAAGCGUUGUCCGGAUUUACUGGGCGUAAAGAGCGCGCAGGCGGUCGUUUAAGUCGAAUGUGAAAGCCCCCGGCUCAACUGGGGAGGGUCAUUCGAUACUGAUCGACUUGAAGGCAGGAGAGAGAGGUGGAAUUCCCGGUGUAGUGGUGAAAUGCGUAGAUAUCGGGAGGAACACCAGUGGCGAAGGCGACUUCUUGGCCUGUUCUUGACGCUGAGGCGCGAAAGCUGGGGGAGCAAACGGG